rnacentral:lncRNA from 1 species
CCAGGAUAUGUUUAUUUAAUAGAGCAACAAUGUAUAGAAACCUUACACCAUACUUCCCUCUAGGGGAAUGAAACAUACAAAACACUACACACUAGAUGUGGAAUAAUGUUCCUAGCUCGCAACAUGCAUAGACACUAAGUCAACCAAAUAUUGAAACCCAAUAGAAUUUACAUAGAAACCAAUAAUUUCACUCAUGUCAUCAAGCAUAUAAACACAACAUAUGAAAAACUAACUUUUUACAUUAACCCAUCAACUAUAUUGAAUAUCACACUACGCCACCGUCACAAGCCAAGGAAAUUGUGGACGUCGCAAGCCAUGUCCUAUGAUGUCCGAGCCGCCAUUGACCUCACACCAAAUAGAGGAAUCCUUUCGAUCAUCCUACACCACAACAAAGACAUAGAAACAUAUUUGAGCAAGCGCAAAAACCCUUACGGUGGUAAAGAAACAUGUUUUAGUACGUGCGAAAACCUUAUAGCUGCAAGAAACACAUAAACAUGUCUUAGUAGGCACAAAACAAUGUAAAACACCCAAUAAAAUCCUACCCUGUGGGAGAUUAUUUUAUCCAAAAUCAUGCCAACCCCAAACCGAACCUGAAUAGUAAACAAGACAAAUUUUUGUUCUAGUCAGAUAAUGUGCUCCAAUAAUGCAUAGAAAUGUCGUUCGAUAAUGUAUAAAAUUAUGCUCCAAUAAUACAUAGAUUUUUUUAAACAAUGUAUAAAAAGAAGCAUGAAUUACUAAUGAUCAUUAAUUGUCUAGUAUUUUUAGAAAUCAAUAUUGACCAUCAUAAAUAAAUAUUUUAAUUAAUCAGAUUGCCAAAUCAUAAUUUAGUAUGCAUAGAAACUUAUGUAUGCAAGCAUAAAAAUAGUGUCUCUAAAUGGAUUCAUCAAAUUACAUAGAAAACCAUGUUUACUAGAGAUGUGGGGAGGUCACCGUUGUUGGAUGCAAGAUGGGGACUAUGGUCACUGAGGAAGAGGCGCAGCUGCCAUUACCGAAGAUGUUGGGGAAGGGGUCAGGGGCUCGACGCUCAUGGCCUGG